rnacentral:tRNA from 1 species
GGCCUUAUCUACUAACAGGUUAGGUAAUCGCCCUCUCAAGGCGAAAAUACGGGUUCGAGUCCCGUUGAGGCUA